GCGACGUAUCUACGAAUCUUACUUUCAAUGUCAUCAAAAAGGGCUGAAGAGAUAUUUCUGCAUUUGAAGUGUAUCACAGCCAGCUUUGAUGGGCAUUGCAAUAAGCCUAGAUUCCGAUUGAAACU
rnacentral:precursor_RNA from 15 species